rnacentral:rRNA from 1 species
CAUCAUUUAAAGAAAGCGUAAUAGCUCACUGGUCGAGUCGGCCUGCGCGGAAGAUGUAACGGGGCUAAACCAUGCACCGAAGCUGCGGCAGCGACGCUGAUGCGUUGUUGGGUAGGGGAGCGUUCUGUAAGCCUGCGAAGGUGUGCUGUGAGGCAUGCUGGAGGUAUCAGAAGUGCGAAUGCUGACAUAAGUAACGAUAAA